GGCGGCGUAGCCAAGUGGUUAAGGCGGGGGUCUGCAAAACCCCUAUACAGCGGUUCAACUCCGCUCGCCGCCUCCA
rnacentral:tRNA from 2 species